AACGAACGCUGGCGGCAUGCCUAACACAUGCCAGUCGAACGAGACCUUCGGGUCUAGUGGCGCACGGGUGCGUAACGCGUGGGAACCCGCCCUUAGGUUCGGAAUAACUCCCCGAAAGGGGUGCUAAUACCGGAUAAUGUCUUCGGACCAAAGAUUUAUCGCCUUUGGAUGGGCCCGCGUUGGAUUAGCUAGUUGGUAGGGUAAAAGCCUACCAAGGCGACGAUCCAUAGCUGGUCUGAGAGGAUGAUCAGCCACACUGGGACUGAGACACGGCCCAGACUCCUACGGGAGGCAGCAGUGGGGAAUAUUGGACAAUGGGCGAAAGCCUGAUCCAGCAAUGCCGCGUGAGUGAUGAAGGCCUUAGGGUUGUAAAGCUCUUUUACCCGGGAUGAUAAUGACAGUACCGGGAGAAUAAGCUCCGGCUAACUCCGUG
rnacentral:rRNA from 1 species